rnacentral:misc_RNA from 1 species
CUUCUCUUUCCUCUACUUUACUUCCUCUACUAUCCAACCAUUGCACAUCCCUUUUGUCAUUGUGAUAAAAACUACUAUGGCUGAAAAGCCAUUUCUUGUGAUUACAAAUGCCCAAUUCUAAAAUAUCGUGUCAAAAGGCUAAAAUUCUGAUACACAAUGGCCGAUAGAUUAUGCAUUGGCCAUAGUUUAGACAGCUUGCUUACAAAGCUGAUGGUUGCUACUGGUCCCAUAGAACCCCAUUUAACCGUACUUUCAAGGUUUUGCUUACAAACUCCCUUAUUCUAAACAGAACUUUGAGAAAUAGCAAGGGAAAGCAAAUGUUCUCUACAAAUAGCAUUUUUUGCACUUGAAGUUUGCGCACAAAGCUUUACAAGCUACUAAAGUCACUGCAGGCCUGCAAUUAACUAUCCCUUGAAGUUUUACGAACUUCUCCCACACCGCACACAUAAAGAAAAAUUUAAAAUCACAAGUCUCAUUGCCAAUCAGAGAGGGAAGGGCAGAACCAUAAGCAAAGAGGUCUUAUUUGUCACACAUAACAUUUAUCAAACAAAGACAGUUGAAAACCAAGGGAGUGGUGAUGCCAUACACGAGAAGGUGGUAGAUAUCCGCAGUUAUCUUCCUUUCAUUCUUUCUUUUGCUUCCUAAUUUCCCAUCCCUUUAUUACAGACUCUAUAACCUAUCUUGUUUACAAUUGAUUUUCUAGUAUAGUGACGAUUGCAAACUGAUAUAAAUGCAUAGUGCAAACUAAUACAAACACACACAGAGGCACAUCUUUCACACUUAACAUUCAUUCCUUAACAUCAAAAUAAGACCCCCCAACAUUCAUUAGUCAAUUUUCAAUGGUUAAAUUCAUUCCAUAAGCUAUAUAUUGUAUGUCUGAUGAAAUAUGAAUGUAAAUCUAAUAAUAAACAUAACAUAAAGUGCACACUAGAAAAGUCAUUGAAAGAGUACAAAUUAGAUUCAAAGAGAAAAAGAUAAAAGGGUCAAGUAAAUUACCAAUUGCAUGAGAUAAAGAUUUCAGGACAGCAGUGGGAGAAGCAAACGGACCAAAUGUAAUGACAGGAUAUGAGGCUGAAGCAAUGAA